rnacentral:rRNA from 1 species
UACGUAGGGUGCGAGCGUUAAUCGGAAUUACUGGGCGUAAAGCGUGCGCAGGCGGUUUUGUAAGCCAGGUGUGAAAUCCCCGGGCUCAACCUGGGAAUGGCAUUUGGGACUGCAAGGCUGGAGUGCGGCAGAGGAGACUGGAAUUCCUGGUGUAGCAGUGAAAUGCGUAGAUAUCAGGAGGAACACCGAUGGCGAAGGCAGGUCUCUGGGCUGACACUGACGCUCAUGCACGAAAGCGUGGGAGC